GAUGAACGCUGGCGGCGUGCCUAAUACAUGCAAGUCGAGCGAACAGACGAGGAGCUUGCUCCUCUGACGUUAGCGGCGGACGGGUGAGUAACACGUGGAUAACCUACCUAUAAGACUGGGAUAACUUCGGGAAACCGGAGCUAAUACCGGAUAAUAUAUUGAACCGCAUGGUUCAAUAGUGAAAGACGGUUUUGCUGUCACUUAUAGAUGGAUCCGCGCCGCAUUAGCUAGUUGGUAAGGUAACGGCUUACCAAGGCAACGAUGCGUAGCCGACCUGAGAGGGGUGUGAGCCAACAGGGAACCGGAGCACGGACCAAGACACCACGGGGAGGAGCAGGAGGGAAUCCUCCGGAAAGGGCGGAAGGCCGAACGAGCAACGCCGGGGGGGGGAAGGAGGGUCUGGGAACGGAAAACCUUUUUAUUAGGGAAAAAAAAAUGGGGAAAUAACUAGGCCCGGCCUGGAGGGAACUAAUAAAAAAACCCACGCCAAACUACGU
rnacentral:rRNA from 1 species